rnacentral:rRNA from 1 species
UAGGGAAUCUUCGGCAAUGGGGGCAACCCUGACCGAGCAACGCCGCGUGAGUGAAGAAGGUUUUCGGAUCGUAAAGCUCUGUUGUAAGUCAAGAACGAGUGUGAGAGUGGAAAGUUCACACUGUGACGGUAGCUUACCAGAAAGGGACGGCUAACUACGUGCCAGCAGCCGCGGUAAUACGUAGGUCCCGAGCGUUGUCCGGAUUUAUUGGGCGUAAAGCGAGCGCAGGCGGUUUGAUAAGUCUGAAGUUAAAGGCUGUGGCUCAACCAUAGUUCGCUUUGGAAACUGUCAAACUUGAGUGCAGAAGGGGAGAGUGGAAUUCCAUGUGUAGCGGUGAAAUGCAUAGAUAUAUGGAGGAACACCGGUGGCGAAAGCGGCUCUCUGGUCUGUAACUGACGCUGAGGCUCGAAAGCGUGGGGAGCGAACAGGAUUAGAUACCCUGGUAGUCCACGCCGUAAACGAUGAGUGCUAGGUGUUGGAUCCUUUCCGGGAUUCAGUGCCGCAGCUAACGCAUUAAGCACUCCGCCUGGGGAGUACGACCGCAAGGUUG